CAUAGGUCCUCUGGUGCCAGCUGAGCUGACCGCGGAUGCUGUAGGCGAUCGUGGUGACGAACUCUCCGCCCAGACCGAGCUCAGAGCACAGUUUCAGUGCAAAUGACUCCGGAUGCCGUCAGUGGGGUAGGACUCAAUCUGCUGACGAAUGGCUGAGGCAAUGGCAGGGACAAAGGCCAGAGGAUUCAGGUCCAGGUCAUCACAUAAAAUCUCCGCAAACAUCUCUGGGGUCAUCAGUUUCUCUGAAGAGGGACAGAUUAGGAAGGCGAAUGGGAACCAGCGCCUCUACCUGGGCUGCAUUCUCAUGGAUCACUGCCGGGUCGUGGUCAUCAAAGCUGAGCGAGAACAAGACGCAGCAAACCUCAAUGUUGGAUUAUUAUUGAGGAUCCAAGAAUUAUAGAUUGUCUUGUAAAAAGAUGCACUGUGGAAGAUCUAGCCAGAAUUCUGGUUUAAAAAUGUAUUAAAAUUAACUAACAUCAUCAUAAUGUGAAGAUAUUACAGUGUUGACAUGAUGGCAAUGUGAAGUAUUUCUUAAAUAUCACUCUCAAGUUGCCUGCUGUUUAUCUGUCCGCAAAUGGAAUCCCUUUAGAAAGAGAUCUCUUUGAAUUUCUCUGAGUUUCUCCUGACUUGACUAGUUAGGAGCUACUGUACCUUUAGCCCGAGAUAUAUUGUUUCACAACAGAGAUACAGAGCUUGUGCCGUACAGCUGCACAGCUUUCUUACCACAGGGGAAAGGUCCUUUUCUUGUCACGGCCCAUUCGGUUGCGGUUGAUGGUGGUGGAGCAAGGCACAGCAUCGAGAUGGUGAGAGCUGUUGGGCAGCGUGGGGACCCACUGACUGCUCCUCUUAGCUUUCUGCUCCCUUAUAGAAAGGAAAAUAAAAACAAAGUUGAUACAAUGAAAAAAACAUUUAAAUGUAAAAGUAAUUAAAAAAACACAACAAAUGUGAAAUGAGCAUCAUCUCAUUGAAGUUACCUGAGGUAAGCUGGAGGCUCUGUGCUGAUAGACACCGCCUUGUAUUUCUCAUCAUUACCCUCGAAGAUCUCUUCACAUUCGGAUGCCUUCAGCAGAGUAACACUCGUGGCUACAGAGGGACAGAAACACGGAUGUCAACUAUUACUCACAUCUUAAGUGUUGAAUCUCAAACGUAUUGCGGCUUUAUUUGCUAGGGAUUUGGUGUUAUUCAGUCAUGUUUGUUGGGUGGGUUAAACAUGGUAGCUAUCUGGCCAUGUUAAAUGUAGUAUCCCCACCUUCCCUGUGUGAGGUUUCAUCACACCUUGGUUCAACAAACACCAAGAUAUGGAGCCAGAGCAAGGCACAGCAACCUGUUGACGCCAGCUGCAGAUCGCCACACACAAGCAAACAGUGCCUCCCCCGCCACACCGUUUCUAUAUUAACUGUUUGCCAAGUGAAUUCCCAAACUUACACAGUAAUUAGUGGAUAAGACAUUAUUCAGAUCCUGAAUAAUUUUACUCCUCCAGUUAGAGAAGUAAAAAGUACAACAUGUACCUCUGAGAUGUAGUAAAAAGUGUCCUGUAGCCUACACUCUAAAUGUCGUGUAUCCUACACUCUAAAUGUCGUGUAUCCUACACUCUAAAUGUCCUGUAGCCUACACUCUAAAUGUCCUGUAGCCUACACUCUAAAUGUCCUGUAGCCUACACUCUAAAUGUCGUGUAUCCUACACUCUAAAUGUCGUGUAUCCUACACUUCGCAAUGGUGUGUAGUCUACACUCUAAAUGUCCUGUAGCCUACACUCUAAAUGUCCUGUAUCCUACACUCUAAAUGUCGUGUAUCCUACACUUCGCAAUGGUGUGUAGUCUACACUCUAAAUGUCCUGUAGCCUACACUCUAAAUGUCCUGUAUCCUACACUCUAAAUGUCCUGUAGCCUACACUCUAAAUGUCGUGUAUCCUACACUCUAAAUGUCGUGUAUCCUACACUCUAAAUGUCGUGUAUCCUACACUCUAAAUGUCCUGUAGCCUACACUCUAAAUGUCCUGUAUCCUACACUCUAAAUGUCCUGUAGCCCAGUGGUCCCCAACCCCCGGGAUCAAUUGGUACCGGGCCGCACAAGAAAUUAUUAAUAAUUUCCGUUUUAUUUAUUAUCAGAGUAUGAACGAUCUUUUAUUUUUGAAAAACCUUUUAUUUUGAAAAAUGACCGGAUUCGCUCGUUUGCAUCCCAGUCACUUGUGCGCCCAAUUUUAACCCACAAGCUAGCAAAAUGAGUAAGAAACAGACGUCUUUGGAUAUUUUUUUUGCGAAAGGGAAAAGGUCUAGUGAAGAGACAGAAGAAGAGCCUACGAGUUCAAAGAAAAAGAAAACUUUUACCAGACAAUACCAGGAGACCUACUUAAAAUAUGGGUUUAUCGCGGCAGGUGAUUCCCAUAUUCCAAGCCCGCUCUGCAUAAUAUGCGGCGACCGGCUUGCUAAUGAGGCAAUGAAGCCUUCAAAACUGCUUCGCCACACAAGACAAGCCCCUGGAGUAUUUUGAAAGAAAAAAACAGGAACACGAAGGACAGAAGAAAUUACUGAGGGCCACCACAUCAGUAAAUGCGAAUGCACUUAGAGCGUCAUACUUAGUGGCUAACCGUAUUGCUAAGGCUAAAAAGCCAUUCACUAUUGGUGAAGAAUUGAUCUUGCCCUCCACUAAAGACAUUUGCCGUGAACUUCUAGGGGAGGCCGCUGUUAAAAAGAUAGCACAGGUGCCUCUGUCGGCUAGUACCGUGACUCGGCGCAUUGAAGAAAUAGCCGAAGACAUUGAGACACAAUUGUUGGAGAGGAUUAAUACAUCACCGUGGUACGCCCUCCAGGCUGAUGAAUCUACAGAUGUUGACAACAAGGCAAUACUACUUGUUUAUGUGCGAUAUCUUUAUCAGGAGGAUGUGCAUGAGGACAUAUUAUGUGCACUAUCGUUGCCAACCAACACCACAGCCGCAGAACUGUUCAAGUCGCUGGAUGGUUAUAUAUCAGGAAAACUGAAAUGGUCCUUUUGUAUCGGCAUAUGCACAGACGGAGCUGCUGCCAUGACCGGACGGCUGUCUGGUUUAACUGCUCUGAUUAAGGAGGUUGCACCUGAGUGUGAAUCUACGCAUUGUAUCAUUCACAGGGAAAUGCUGGCAAGCCGAAAAAUGCUACCGGAAUUGAACAGCGUAUUGACUGACGUUGUUAAAGUUAUUAACCAUGUCAAAGCACAUGCCCUUAACUCGCGCCUGUUUGAGCAGCUUUGUGAGGAGAUGGACGCAGAGCACAGAUGCCUUCUCUUAUACACAGAAAUAAGAUGGUUAUCCAGAGGGAAAUCGCUGGCCAGAGUUUUUGAAUUAAGAGAGCCGCUGCAAAGAUUUCUCUCAGAAAAGAAGUCACCGCUAGCAGCACAUUUCAGUGACAAGGAAUGGGUCGCAAAACUGGCGAUAUAUUCAACCUGCUCAAUGAACUCAAUCUGUCACUUCAAGAAAAAAUGAUAACUGUCUUCAAGUUGGCAGAUAAAGUAGCUGCAUUUAAAGCCAAAUUGGAUUUGUGGGGACGGCGAGUGAACAGAGGCAUAUUGGACAUGUUUCAAACAUUAUCGGGGAUUUUGGGUGAGACUGAGCCUGAGCCUUCAUUCUCCCAGCUGGUGCACGAUCACCUGUCUUUGCUUUUAAAGGAGUUUGAGCGCUACUUCCCAACCACAAAGGACCCACGAACUGGCAAGGAAUGGAUCCGCAACCCAUUUGUCAACAAACCAGGUGAAUCUAGCAUAUCUGUGCAAGAAGAUGAUCAACUGCUGGAGAUCGCAAAUGACGGCGGCCUUAAAAUUAUGUUCGAGACAACAACUCUGCCGGUGUUCUGGAUUAAAGUCAUGGCAGAAUACCCUGAGAUCGCCACCACCGCACUGAAAACCCUGUUGCCAUUUCCGACAUCCUAUCUGUGUGAAGCGGGGUUUUCUGCAGUGACAGCAACCAAAACAAAACAACGGCGUAGACUGGAUAUAAGCAACACACUUCGGGUGUCAUUGUCUCCCAUCACUCCCAGAUGGGACCGUCUGUGUAGAAAAACAAGCGCAGGGCUCCCAUUGAUUUGGCAUUAUGGUGAGUAAAAAUGUCCAUGCACUUUAUAUUAGUUUUUGUGGUGUAUCUGUAUCUGUGCAGGCAUGUAAAACGUACGCACGUAACUCUCAAAGGGUCGGUGCACUAACGCACCGCACCAACACCCCCCCGGGCCGCGGUAAAAUUUGCCAAGCGUUGACCGGUCCGCGGUGAUAAAAAGGUUGGGGACCACUGCUGUAGCCUACACACUCUAAAUGUCGUGUAUCCUACACUCUAAAUGUCCUGUAGCCUACACACUCUAAAUGUCAUGUAGCCUACACUCUAAAUGUCGUGUAGCCUACACUCUAAAUGUCCUGUAGCCUACACUCUGUUACACCCAGACCUUCUGGGUAGCUCUGUGUUCACUGUCUGCUCUGUUGUCUUGUCUGGCACUCACCUUGUCUCUCAUUCCAAACGCCUCCCUCCUCGUGUGCCGCCCUCCAGUGUGAUUGUAAGUCCCGCCCUCAUUGUUUCCACCUGUGUCUCGUUCCCCUGUGUAUUUAGUCUGUGUCAACUCCCUGUCCUGUGUCUGUUUGUCUUUUGAUGUCGUUACAAGUAAAGCUUGCCCUUUUGAAACUACCUUGCCUCGCCUUGUGUCUGCUUAUUGGGUCCUGCCUCCAUGGUACCAGUUCCUGAUAGUUCAAACCAACCAAGAUGGACUCAGCAGGCCAGGAUUCUGUCCGUCAGGCUCUUGCCUCUCAAGGCGCUCUCGUGGGCCACCAUGACCAACUGCUCAAGGAUAUGAUGGAGGCCCUCAGGUCCCUCUCUACCAACGUGGACCAGCUCGGACAGCAGCUCCGUCAGGUUUCCUUACAGCUGCCUUCUCCUGCCCCGGAAGUCCCAGAGGUCCCGGCUCCUUCUCUGCCUCCUGCCCAGGCCGACGCUGGCUCCCGGGAGCCACACGUCCCUUCCCCGGAGCGUUACGCUGGAGAUCUGGGAACGUGCAGGUAGUUUCUUAUGCAGUGCUCCUUAGUUUUCGACCAGCAACCCUCUAGGUAUGUGACUGAUAGAGCUAAGAUUGCCUUUGUUAUGAGCUCACUUACUAGGAGAGCAUUAGCAUGGGCUACUAGCAUAUGGGACAGUCAGUCUCCCACUAUUUCCUCAUUUCUGUGCUUCUCUGAUGAGAUGCGUAAGGUUUUUGAUCACCCCGUUAGAGGGGACAUUGCCGCACGCCUACUCUCCCUAAGGCAGGGGUCCCGCAGCGUAGCUGAGUUUUCCCUUGACUUCAGAACUGUAUCGCAGGGGUCUGGGUGGUCUGAUGUGUCUCUCCAGGUUUUUUUUCUCAAGGCACUAAAUAACCCGGUGAGGGAGGAAUUAGUUGUGAGGGAGGACUCAGAAAGCCUCGAUGCCUUAAUCACCUUGGCUGUAAGGCUGGAGAGCCGUCUUGAGGAGUUUAGGAGAGAGACCUAGUCGCUUUUUUAGCUUGCCAGGUCCUUGCCCAACUCCUCCUUAUCCCCUCGGGAGACCCGGCCCAAGCUUCGACCGGAGCCCGUUCCCCAGCAACCACGCUGCCGGCCCAGCCCCUAGGUUCCCUGCUCCUCCUGGCUUCACCGCUCCUCACCUCCACGCAGAGGAACCCAUGCAGAUUGGGAGGACCAGCUUGACUCCCGAGGAACGUCAGCGCCGCCUGCGAGAGGGCAGGUGCAUCUACUGCGGCCAGAGGGGCCAUCGCCUUCUGGACCAGCAGCUGUUUGUAAAGGCCGAGAAAUGCGAGUUUCACGUCUCCACUGUAUCGUUCCUGGGGUUUAUUGUGUCUGAGGGAGAGGUGAGGAUGGAACCGGAGAAGGUCGAAGCAGUCACAAGUUGGCCCACUCCUUGCAACCGCAAGGAGAUUCAACGGUUUUUGGGGUUUGCCAAUUUCUAGGAGGUUUAUUAGGAACUUCAGUUCUGUUGCUGCCCCCCUGCAUGCACUAACCUCCUCUGCUGUUAGGUUCCAGGUGGGCGCUAUUAUUUAGUAGGUUUAACUUUUCUUUGUCUUAUCGCCCAGGCUCUAAGAAUGUGAAACCCGACUCUGUCUCGACUGUUUGACCCUGUUGCCUCCCCCAACCCUCCCUCAUGCAUUCUGCCCCCUUCCUGCCUGGUUGGGGCCGCCACGUGGGACAUUGAGGAGAGGGUGAGACAAGCUGCCGCAAGUGUUUCUGCCCCUGAUGGUUGCCCCCCCAGUAGGAUGGUUGUUCCCUUUUCUCUCCGAUCUCAGGUCAUCCAGUGGGGCCACUCUUCUCGAGUUUCCUGCCACCCCGGCGUUCGGAGGACGAUGUUCGUCAUCAAGCAGCGGUACUGGUGGCCCUCAAUGGAGAGGGAGGUUGGGGAGUAUGUAUCAGCCUGCCAGGUGUGUGCACGGUGUAAGGUUCCCCGACUUUCUCCACCUGGCCUCCUAAGGCCACUACCAGUUCCACAUCGCCCCUGGUCGGACAUUUCUCUAGACUUUGUCACUGGGUUUCCCCUGUCCGAGGGUAACACCACCAUUCUCACAGUGGUGGACAGAUUCUCAAAGAUGGUCCAUUUCAUUCCCCUGCCUAAGUUGCCCUCCACCAAGGAGACGGCGGAGGCUGUGCUUUCUCAUGUUUUCCGUCUCCAUGGGUUCCCUGCAGAUGUGGUGUCGGACCAGGGUCCCCAGUUCAUUUCCAAGUUCUGGAAGGAGUUCUGCAGUCUCCUAUGGGCCACGUGCACCUAUGGCUACCAGCCACCCCUGUUUCCUGCUCUGGAGAAGGAGUCUAGAGUACCCUCUGCUCUGGCCAUGGUCUGCCGUCGCCGCCGCACCUGGGACUGAGCCCGCCAGACCCUACUCAAGAACUCUGCCUGUUACAAGAAUACGGCAGAUCAACAGUGGUCCCAGGCCCCUGACUAUCGGGUAGGCGAGAAGGUGUGGCUAUCUACACGGGACCUUCCCCUUCAUGUGGAGUCCUGUAAGCUGGCUCCUCGGUUUGUGGGACCCUUCCCAAUUUCAAGAGUGAUUAACCCUGUGGCCAUGAGACUCAAACUCCCUAGACCCAUGAGGGUCCACCCCACUUUUCAUGUGGCCCGGCUAAGGCCAGCAAAGGAGAGCCCUUUGGUUCCGGCCACCAGACCUCCACCACCACCCCAACUCAUUGAUGGCGGUCCGACCUAUGCUGUCAAGCGUCUCUUGGUGGUUCCGCGCCGGGGUCGGCAGUACCUCGUGGAUUGAGAGGGGUAUGGUCCUGAAGAGAGAUCUUGGGAGAAAGCCAGCAACAUUCUGGGACCAGACCUCAGAGACUUCCACCGGAGGUUCCCUGAUGAGCCUGGGCCGUCAG